rnacentral:rRNA from 1 species
UACGUAGGGUGCGAGCGUUGUCCGGAAUUAUUGGGCGUAAAGAGCUCGUAGGCGGUUUGUCGCGUCGACUGUGAAAACCCGAGGCUUAACCUCGGGCCUGCAGUGGGUACGGGCAGACUAGAGUGUGGUAGGGGAGACUGGAAUUCCUGGUGUAGCGGUGGAAUGCGCAGAUAUCAGGAGGAACACCGAUGGCGAAGGCAGGUCUCUGGGCCAUUACUGACACUGAGAAGCGAAAGCAUGGGGAGCGAACAGG